rnacentral:rRNA from 1 species
AUUGAACGCUGGCGGCAGGCCUAACACAUGCAAGUCGAGCGGAGCGGCGGACGGGUGAGUAAUGCCUAGGAAUCUGCCUGGUAGUGGGUGAUCACGUCCGGAAACGGGCACUAAUACCGCAUACUAUCAGAUGAGCCUAGGUCGGAUUAGCUUGGUGGUGGGGUAAAGUCCUACAAAGGCGACGAUCCGUACCUGGUCUGAGAGGAUGAUCAGUCACACUGGAACUGAGACACGGUCGAGACUCCUACGGGAGGAAGCAGGGGGGAAUAUUGGACAAUGGGCGAAAGCCUGAUCCAGCCAUGCCGCGUGUGUUAAGAAGGUCUUCGGAUUGUAAAGCACUUUAAGUUGGGAAGCGUUACCAACAGAAUAAGCACCGGCUAACUUCGUGCCAGCAGCCGCGGUAAUAC